rnacentral:lncRNA from 1 species
AGGCAAAAGUUUUGAAGAUGGUCACUGAUGAUCGUGCUACUCACUUCAAGACAGCAUCUAAGGAUCAUUUUAAGCAUGAUUUAAGAUAUUUUAAUGGUUAUUGCCUUCAUGGAAAUGCUACUCUAUGGGUAUAUAAAAGUCCUGUGUUUUGAUUUCUGGUAUUAAUUUAAGUUAAAUAAAUUAAUUUUGGUAAAAAGUGGG